CUUUUGUCUUUUUUGUUGUUGUUGUUGCUAUUUCUUGGGCCGCUCCCGCGGCAUAUGGAGGUUCCCAGGCUAGGGGUUGAGUCGGAGCUGUAGCCACCGGCCUACGCCAGAGCCACAGCAACGCGGGAUCCGAGCCGCGUCUGCAACCUACACCACAGCUCACGGCAACGCCGGAUCGUUAACCCACUGAGCAAGGGCAGGGAUCGAACCCGCAACCUCAUGGUUCCUAGUCGGAUUCGUUAACCACUGCGCCACGACGGGAACUCCACAGUUUCACUUCUUUUUGGGAAAAACAUUUUCCCAUAUGCUUUUAGUUUCUCUUUAGUAAAUGAACAAGUUUUCUCAAGUUCUUUCCUCAUUCAUUUUCAUGGAUCUUGCUGAUUUGAAAGUUUUCGUAUAAACACCUUAAAAUUUAAACAUCUGUCUGCUACAUUUUUGCAAAUUUCUAAUCCUGGCUUGCACAUAUUUAAAUUUGUUCAUUUGUACUGAGUGAGGAAGGAGGGGAGGUGCAAGAAAAAGAAUAAAUGCCAAUGUUUUACUUGAGAGUCAAAUGUAAUAAAUGUUCCCCUCAUCAGUCCUUCCAAUUCUUUUAUGUUUGGAAGUUAUUUCCCCAUCAAGAUAAAUAUCUUUCUUAAAUGAGACUAUCAUAAGAAUAUUUAUUCUACUUAACUCUUCAAUAUAGCCAGAAUUUACUUCUGGUAUAGAAGAUGAGAUAAAGAUCAAAUUGACUUUAUUUUUCUAACUAUUUAAUGCUCUCAAAAAGGUUUAUUGAAUGUCUCCCUUUUUAUACAUAUUUCUAGACUCCUUUUAUUAUAUUCAGAAUGUCUGUUUCUGAGAUCUCCAUUUGCUUUUACCAGCUUUACUAUCAAUGCUUAUACUAGUAUUCAACUCCUUGAUUUACUACAAUUUUAUAGUAUGUUUUGAUAUCUAUCUCAUUUUACUUGUUUAGUUUCUUGGAUAGAAUUAAGAAUUAUCUUGUUAGUCACUCACAUUUUUAAAGAAUUAGAAUUAUGUUAAAUCCAUGAGUUAGCUUGAGAAAAACUGGUAUUUGUAAUAGUUGGAUUCCCCAUAUAGGAACAUGACAUUCUCCUCACUGCACCCACACAUAGCCCAAUAGUUUUUAGGUUUCUUCACACAGGUUCACACAUUUCUUAUUAAUAUAAUUUAACUUCUUUCUAUAUACUGUUAAAAAUGAUUUUUCUAUUGUAUCUUCUGAACCACUAUUGCUACUAUAAAGGAGAACUACUGAUGUAACCAUUUGUCUUAAAUCUAGUUACUUUUUUUAUUUUUUAUUUUUUUAUUUUUUGCUGUGUGGGGUGAGGGAUUGAACCCAAGCCAUAGCACAUUUACUCCUCUUCUUUCUAUUUCAUUUAUUAUUGCACUGGUCAGAAAUUCCAGAAUAAUGCUGUAUAAUAAUAUAGUGAUAACAGGUUUCCAAUUUUUUUAAAAUAGCUACUUCUCUAGUACUUCACCAUUAGUCAUUAUUUUAGCUUUCAGUCUGAUAUAUGUUAAGAAAAUUACUCUUCAUUCCUAUUUUUUAUUUUUUAUUUUAAUUAAUUAAUUAAUCUUGGAGGUUGCACCCACAGCACAUGGAAGUUCCUGGGCCAAGGAUCAAAUCUGAGCUGCAGCCAUGACCUGUGCCACAGCUGCAGCAAUGCUGGAUCCUUAACCCACUGCACCAGGCUGGGGGACUGAAUCAGUACCUCUGCAGCAACCUGAACUGCUGAAGGUGGAUCCUUAACCCACUGCACCACAUNNNNNNNNNNNNNNNNNNNNNNNNGGAAUGCCAUACCUGAUUUUUAAAGAGACAAAAGGAAGUCACUAAUUUCUUUUCUACAUUUACUGAGACGAUCUUUAUUUCCAUUAUUGGACUUACUGAUCUAUGCAUUAUAAAAUUUCAUGUUAAGUGAUCUUUGUACUCUUAGAGUAAAAGUUCCUAAUAGGUAAUCAUAAAAUGGACUUAAUAUACCAUUGAAUUAUUUUUGCUCCUAUUUAAUUUAGAGUUGCUAUUUUAUUAGAGUUCUAUAUCUUAAAGUUUGUUUGCACAUGCUCACUUCUGGAACAUAGCACCCUCUGAACAACUCAGUCACCAGCCUUCCAGUAUCAACUUUUCAGGUUCAUAAAACAUGAGUGGCUUAUUCAGUAUCACAUAGUUAGCAGGAACAUUAGAUAUUCUGGUUCUGAUCUAGAAUUUACAUGCAAAUGUCCCAUUUUUUUGCAUCAAACCAUUCCUUCCCUCCCUCCCCACCUCCCAAUGUAACAGAGAGAUCACGUUUUCUUGGCCCAGUAGUCAUAUCUUCCGGGCCAGCUAAAAAGAAUGGCCUAGGGCAGCUCACCUCUUUCCAGGGAUAGAGGGGAAGUUCUCUUCCCGAUCAGAUAGGAAUUCAAAAAGUGAUUGUACAAAGGAAGUGAAUACUACAUAAGGAGGUGAGAAUAACAUGUAGAUUUGUCACCAUAUUUACAUUUCUCCUCCAGACUUUCCAUUUCUCUAGGUUAGAGUUAGUAUAAACC
ensembl:lncRNA